CAGGGACAGGGCCAGAGCAAGUUUUAGGCAAGCUUCCCUUUUGGGUUUCCCUUCUCGCUGUUGCAAAAAGUAUCUUUCCCGGUUUCCGGCCGCUUCUGGACUCUUCUUCUGCCAAGAAACAAAAC